rnacentral:rRNA from 1 species
AUGAAGAUAAGGAAGAAAGAGAUGUUUAUUUGCUGUCCAAAAAGUUCUCUCACGUCACUUUUGGCCCAAGAGAAGAUAGAGUCCAAGUCUCUCACGUUCUGGAUUCAGAUUCGGACUGCACAGACAUACCUGACUCAAAACGCACACAAGUUUUUCAUACGGACUCCGAAUUGGGUGAUUCUUUUUUUGUUGGAAACUAGAUUUCGUGCACUUUCCCAACCAAUUGGAAUCACCUUCAAAUUCGUCCGGAGCGUUGAGUUGUGGACGAAACAAUCUGAUGCUGCAGCAGAAUCCGAGUCAAACUACAAGUCCAAAGGUGUUACAUCACCUCCACUUGGGCCCAUUGGCCUUGUACGACCUAGAUUUAGUUUUAGGCUGCCUUGGGACGUCCUCCCACCUCCUUGGCCGCCACCCCUUGCUCCUAUAUAA